rnacentral:rRNA from 1 species
AGUGAACGCUGGCGGCGUGCUUAACACAUGCAAGUCGAACGAGAACGGAUUAUAGCUUGCUAUAAUUGUCAGCCAAGUGGCGCACGGGUGAGUAAUGUAUAGGUAAUAUGCCUCUUACUAAGGGAUAACAAAUGGAAACGUUUGCUAAUACCUUAUACUCCUUAUUAACAGAGGUUAAUAAGGGAAAGAUUUAUUGGUAAGAGAUUAGCCUGUAUUGUAUCAGUUAGUUGGUGGGGUAAUGGCUUACCAAGACUAUGACACAUAACUGGUUUGAGAGGAUGAUCAGUCACACUGGAACUGAGACACGGUCCAGACUCCUACGGGAGGCAGCAGUGGGGAAUAUUGCACAAUGGACGAAAGUCUGAUGCAGCAACGCCGCGUGGAGGAUGACACAUUUCGGUGCGUAAACUCCUUUUAUAUGAGAAGAUAAUGACGGUAUUAUAUGAAUAAGCACCGGCUAACUCCGUGCCAGCCGCCGCGGUAACAC